CUGAAUGUAAGGAGGAUGAAGAAAAGAAAAAGGACGGACAGUGAUGUGUACAUAAACAAGCAGAAGUAAAUCCAGCAACUAAUAGAAAACUAAAGAGUGAGACAGUGAGAAUGGAGGGCGAAAAGAGGAAUAGUCCGGAAUAUUGGGAGCAAAGAUGAAGCAUGGCUGAAAGGAUAGACUUAUAUGCUAUUGAAUAGACAAACCGAGUGAUCAAUUGUCAGAUUUUUGAAUAAACAAGCUUCGAGUUUACAAGGAAAAUAGAGAAAACUGAGUAUCAUGCCAACAAAAGAGAUUACGCCGGGAUAAUAGCGCUUCAGCACCGCUGG